rnacentral:rRNA from 1 species
CGGGACGGGUGAGUAAUGUAUGGGGAUCUGCCUGAUGGCGGGGGAUAACUACUGGAAACGGUAGCUAAUACCGCAUAAUGUCUACGGACCAAAGCGGGGGACCUCCGGGCCUCGCGCCAUCAGAUGAACCCAUAUGGGAUUAGCUAGUAGGUAAGGUAACGGCUUACCUAGGCGACGAUCCCUAGCUGGUCUGAGAGGAUGACCAGCCACACUGGAACUGAGACACGGUCCAG